rnacentral:rRNA from 1 species
UACGUAGGGUGCGAGCGUUGUCCGGAAUUAUUGGGCGUAAAGGGCUCGUAGGCGGUCUGUUGCGUCGGGAGUGAAAACUCAGGGCUUAACCCUGAGCCUGCUUCCGAUACGGGCAGACUAGAGGUAUGCAGGGGAGAACGGAAUUCCUGGUGUAGCGGUGAAAUGCGUAGAUAUCUGGAGGAACACCGGUGGCGAAGGCGGCAUCCUGGACCGACACUGACGCUGAGGAGCGAAAGCCAGGGGAGCAAACGGG